rnacentral:rRNA from 1 species
GUGAGUAACGCGUAUCCAACCUGCCUUACACUCUUGGACAGCCUUCUGAAAGGGAGAUUAAUACAAGAUGUUAUCAUGAGUAAGCAUUUUCGCAUGAUUAAAGGUUUACCGGUGUAAGAUGGGGAUGCGUUCCAUUAGAUAGUAGGCGGGGUAACGGCCCACCUAGUCUUCGAUGGAUAGGGGUUCUGAGAGGAAGGUCCCCCACAUUGGAACUGAGACACGGUCCAAACUCCUACGGGAGGCAGCAGUGAGGAAUAUUGGUCAAUGGACGAGAGUCUGAACCAGCCAAGUAGCGUGAAGGAUGAAGGUUCUAUGGAUUGUAAACUUCUUUUAUACGGGAAUAAACGAAUCCACGUGUGGAUUUUUGCAUGUACCGUAUGAAUAAGGAUCGGCUAACUCCGUGCCAGCAGCCGCGGUAAUACGGAGGAUCCGAGCGUUAUCCGGAUUUAUUGGGUUUAAAGGGAGCGUAGAUGGGUUGUUAAGUCAGUUGUGAAAGUUUGCGGCUCAACCGUAAAAUUGCAAUUGAUACUGGCAGUCUUG